CCUACGGGAGGCAGCAGUGAGGAAUAUUGGUCAAUGGGCGAGAGCCUGAACCAGCCAAGUCGCGUGAGGGAGUACUGCCCUAUGGGUUGUAAACCUCUUUUGUCGGGGAGCAAAAGCCGGACGUGUCCGGCUGUGAGAGUACCCGAAGAAAAAGCCUCGGCUAACUCCGUGCCCGCAGCCGCGGUAAUCCGGAGGAUGCGAGCGUUCUCCGGAUCUAUUGGGUUUAAAGGGGUCGCAGGCGGAUUGUUAAGUCAGCGGUAAAAUCGUGGGGCGCAAACCCAUCCAGCCGUUGAAACUGGGGAUCUAGAGUGUGCGAGAGGUAUGCGGAAUGCGUGGUGUAGCGGUGAAAUGCAGAGAUAUCACGCAGAACCCCGAUUGCGAAGGCAGCAUACCGGUGCACAACUGACGCUCAGGCACGAAAGCGUGGGUAUCGAACAGGAUUAGAUACACCGGUAGUC
rnacentral:rRNA from 1 species